rnacentral:rRNA from 1 species
UACAGAGGGUGCGAGCGUUGUCCGGAAUCACUGGGCGUAAAGGGCGCGUAGGUGGCCUGCUAAGUAGGGGGUGAAAUCUCGAGGCUCAACUUCGAGGCUGCCUUCUAAACUGUCGGGCUUGAGCAGAGUAGAGGCAGGUGGAAUUCCCGGUGUAGCGGUGGAAUGCGUAGAGAUCGGGAAGAACAUCGGUGGCGAAGGCGGCCUGCUGGGCUCUUGCUGACACUGAGGCGCGACAGCGUGGGGAGCAAACAGG